AUACGGAGGAUCCGAGCGUUAUCCGGAUUUAUUGGGUUUAAAGGGAGCGUAGGCGGACUAUUAAGUCAGCUGUGAAAGUUUGCGGCUCAACCGUAAAAUUGCAGUUGAUACUGGUCGUCUUGAGUGCAGUAGAGGUAGGCGGAAUUCGUGGUGUAGCGGUGAAAUGCUUGGAUAUCACGAAGAACUCCGAUUGUGAAGGCAGCUUACUGGACUGUAACUGACGCUGAUGCUCGAAAGUGUGGGUAUCAAACAGGAUUAGAUACCCUGGUAGUCCACACAGUAAACGAUGAAUACUCGCUGUUUGCGAUAUACGGCAAGCGGCCAAGCGAAAGCAUUAAGUAUUCCACCUGGGGAGUACGCCGGCAACGGUGAAACUCAAAUGAAUUGGCGGGG
rnacentral:rRNA from 1 species